UACAUGGGGUGCAAACGUUGCUCGGAAUUAUUGGGCGUAAAGCGCACGUAGGCGGUUUGUUAAGUCGGAUGUGAAAUCCCGAGGCUCAACCUCGGGUCUGCAGUCGAUACGAGCAAACUAGAGUGUUGCAGGGGAGACUGGAAUUCCUGGUGUAGCGGUGAAAUGCGCAGAUAUCAGGAGGAACACCGGUGGCGAAGGCGGGUCUCUGGGCCGAUACUGACGCUGAGGAGCGAAAGCGUGGGGAGCAAACAGG
rnacentral:rRNA from 1 species